AAGUCGUAGCGAACAGAUAAGGAGCUUGCUCCUUUGAAGUUAGCGGCGGACGGGUGAGUAACACGUGGGUAACCUACCUAUAAGACUGGGAUAACUUCGGGAAACCGGAGCUAAUACCGGAUAACAUUUAGAACCGCAUGGUUCUAAAGUGAAAGAUGGUUUUGCUAUCACUUAUAGAUGGACCCGCGCCGUAUUAGCUAGUUGGUAAGGUAACGGCUUACCAAGGCGACGAUACGUAGCCGACCUGAGAGGGUGAUCGGCCACACUGGAACUGAGACACGGUCCAGACUCCUACGGGAGGCAGCAGUAGGGAAUCUUCCGCAAUGGGCGAAAGCCUGACGGAGCAACGCCGCGUGAGUGAUGAAGGGUUUCGGCUCGUAAAACUCUGUUAUUAGGGAAGAACAAAUGUGUAAGUAACUGUGCACAUCUUGACGGUACCUAAUCAGAAAGCCACGGCUAACUACGUGCCAGCAGCCGCGGUAAUACGUAGGUGGCAAGCGUUAUCCGGAAUUAUUGGGCGUAAAGCGCGCGUAGGCGGUUUCCUUAAGUCUGAUGUGAAAGCCCACGGCUCAACCGUGGAGGGUCAUUGGAAACUGGGAAACUUGAGUGCAGAAGAGGAAAGUGGAAUUCCAUGUGUAGCGGUGAAAUGCGCAGAGAUAUGGAGGAACACCAGUGGCGAAGGCGACUUUCUGGUCUGUAACUGACGCUGAUGUGCGAAAGCGUGGGGAUCAAACAGGAUUAGAUACCCUGGUAGUCCACGCCGUAAACGAUGAGUGCUAAGUGUUAGGGGGUUUCCGCCCCUUAGUGCUGCAGCUAACGCAUUAAGCACUCCGCCUGGGGAGUACGACCGCAAGGUUGAAACUCAAAGGAAUUGACGGGGACCCGCACAAGCGGUGGAGCAUGUGGUUUAAUUCGAAGCAACGCGAAGAACCUUACCAAAUCUUGACAUCCUUUGAAAACUCUAGAGAUAGAGCCUUCCCCUUCGGGGGACAAAGUGACAGGUGGUGCAUGGUUGUCGUCAGCUCGUGUCGUGAGAUGUUGGGUUAAGUCCCGCAACGAGCGCAACCCUUAAGCUUAGUUGCCAUCAUUAAGUUGGGCACUCUAGGUUGACUGCCGGUGACAAACCGGAGGAAGGUGGGGAUGACGUCAAAUCAUCAUGCCCCUUAUGAUUUGGGCUACACACGUGCUACAAUGGACAAUACAAAGGGCAGCUAAACCGCGAGGUCAUGCAAAUCCCAUAAAGUUGUUCUCAGUUCGGAUUGUAGUCUGCAACUCGACUACAUGAAGCUGGAAUCGCUAGUAAUCGUAGAUCAGCAUGCUACGGUGAAUACGUUCCCGGGUCUUGUACACACCGCCCGUCACACCACGAGAGUUUGUAACACCCGAAGCCGGUGGAGUAACCAGUUAUG
rnacentral:rRNA from 1 species